UACGUAGGGGGCAAGCGUUGUCCGGAAUCAUUGGGCGUAAAGCGCGUGUAGGCGGCUCGGUAAGUCCGCUCUGAAAGUCCGGGGCUCAACCCCGGGAGGCGGGUGGAUACUGUCGAGCUCGAGUCCGGAAGAGGCGAGUGGAAUUCCUGGUGUAGCGGUGAGAUGCGCAGAUAUCAGGAGGAACACCGAUGGCGAAGGCAGCUCGCUGGGACGUGACUGACGCUGAGACGCGAAAGCGUGGGGAGCAAACAGG
rnacentral:rRNA from 1 species